GGCGUGCCUAAUACAUGCAAGUCGAGCGAACUGAUUAGAAGCUUGCUUCUAUGACGUUAGCGGCGGACGGGUGAGUAACACGUGGGCAACCUGCCUGUAAGACUGGGAUAACUUCGGGAAACCGAAGCUAAUACCGGAUAGGAUCUUCUCCUUCAUGGGAGAUGAUUGAAAGAUGGUUUCGGCUAUCACUUACAGAUGGGCCCGCGGUGCAUUAGCUAGUUGGUGAGGUAACGGCUCACCAAGGCAACGAUGCAUAGCCGACCUGAGAGGGUGAUCGGCCACACUGGGACUGAGACACGGCCCAGACUACUACGGGAGGCAGCAGUAGGGAAUCUUCCGCAAUGGACGAAAGUCUGACGGAGCAACGCCGCGUGAGUGAUGAAGGCUUUCGGGUCGUAAAACUCUGUUGUUAGGGAAGAACAAGUACGAGAGUAACUGCUCGUGCCUUGACGGUACCUAACCAGAAAGCCACGGCUAACUACGUGCCAGCAGCCGCGGUAAUACGUAGGUGGCAAGCGUUAUCCGGAAUUAUUGGGCGUAAAGCGCGCGCAGGCGGUUUCUUAAGUCUGAUGUGAAAGCCCACGGCUCAACCGUGGAGGGUCAUUGGAAACUGGGGAACUUGAGUGCAGAAGAGAAAAGCGGAAUUCCACGUGUAGCGGUGAAAUGCGUAGAGAUGUGGAGGAACACAAGUGGCGCAGGCGGCUUUUUGGUCUGUAACUGACGCUGAGGCGCGAAAGCGUGGGGAGCAAACAGGAUUAGAUACCCUGGUAGUCCACGCCGUAAACGAUGAGUGCUAAGUGUUAGAGGGUUUCCGCCCUUUAGUGCUGCAGCUAACGCAUUAAGCACUCCGCCUGGGGAGUACGGUCGCAAGACUGAAACUCAAAGGAAUUGACGGGGG
rnacentral:rRNA from 2 species